rnacentral:rRNA from 1 species
UCUGGUGGAAAUGGCGGAGGGGUCACACCCGUUCCCAUUCCGAACACGGUCGUUAAGCCCUCCAGCGCCGAUGGUACUUGGGACGUUGGUCCCCGGGAGAGUAGGUCUCCGCCAGAC